CGCUCGCCGCGCGCGCGCGCCGCCCCGCGCCUCUGCACGAGGUACCGGACGAGUGGCAGCUGCUGUGGUCGGGACCGACGGCGCCGGAAGCUUACAUCAAAGAAUUUUGUCACCGAGCUCGCUCGGCCGUCGAGAGAGUGGGCGGGCCUGAAUUUAGCGAAGACUAUAUGCCUCCAGAGGUCGACUUGCGGCAGUUCUUCCGCCCCGCGCGCGUGCUGUGCGCGGCGCGAGCGCGCGAGGCGGCGCGACGCGCGUGCUCGCUGCAGGCGCUCGUACUCGUCGCUAAGUGGGACUGCC